AGGAUUGUUUCCCGACCUAUAUCCAUGACUGGAUAUAUUUCUAUGACAAAAUCCAAGCUGUAAUUCUUAUCUCGCCCUCAAGGUACCUGCAAGCCAGUGACCUCAAUCCUGACCUACAACAGUCACCCACUCCCCACCGGAAUGGAAAAGGUCAUUUCGUCACCUCAGCCAGCAGUCCUCAGGAGACUCCAACAUCCCAGCUCCACGCAGCGUUCUUAGAGUUGAUGUCUUCUCUCAAGGGAACAGAAGAAAUGAGUGCUACAACCCCAAGACAAGCCCCGUUUUGCUUAUGACCCCGAGAAAACAGAACCAACCAGAGCAGAAUUUCCUCAGCUUUCUGCUGUCAUGUACACAACCAACUUGCAUCCCUUCAGUAUCCAGAAGCCAACCCUGCAGUUGCAAGCCCGUGUGGCUUUGCGCCUCCCCCUCCCUGGAGCCCUUGGCUCCUGAAGCUUGGCUUGCUGUAACACCAGGUUCCUCUCCUAGCAGAUCAUUCUCAUCAGCAUUCAGUUUUAGUUCUAUGCUUCUUUCUCCACUUCUGCUGAAGUAAGACCUCAGAAGUUGCCGCUCAUCCUCUUGAUUGACCAAGUCUGGAGUUGAUUACAGGACUUCAUCGCAGGCACAAUUACAGAGUGAUCCCCAGUGAACCAUCAUCACCUACUUUACAUUGCAAGUUUCAUUCGUUAGUGGUGUUCUGUGAACAUUUCAUCUUUCUCAUCAUAAAAUGUGUUUUCACUUGAUGUGAUCACUUCUCAGAGUGACGCCUGGACAUGCAUUUUCAGAGGACAAGCCAAGUCCAAGAACUUGAGUUUACACACACAUGCUCAAGAUAACCUUUGCUGAUGUAGGAGCAUGCAAUGAUCUGUCUCAUAGAGGUCACAUAGAGAAGUCUGUGACCAGUUCCAUUGCCUUUCCUGGUAAUUUCCUUUUGAAAGUGGUCUCUGUGUGGAAGUCCAUGAUCAGUGCUGUCACUGUAAAGAGCCAGGAAGCCUCUUUUGCAGUGGUAUGGAUGACUGCAGACUCACAGUUGAGAAUGAGACAUAGAAGAUCUUGGAGACACCCCUCCUCGGCCUUCCCUCCCAAAAGAAACAGUCUAGACAGGAAGCCCCUGAAGGGAACUCUUAAAAAUUGUGAUGGGGAUCCUGAAGUGUAGCUCUUCACAGUUACGGCUUCUGGAGUGAGGGGCUGGGCGCGGGGUGGCAUGGAUGUGGGCUCUGUUUUCUUUGCGGGACUGGCCACUAGGAGCUUGACCAUGCUGCAGUGAGUACAUGGGCCACACAAACUGGACUUGUUUCAUUUUUGUUGUUGUUAUUGAUGUUUUUUUCUCUUUUCUUUGGGCCAGGUGACAGGGUGAGGUGGGCUACUGUGGGGCUGGAAAGACUGGGAAGUUGAUGGGGUGCAUUAUUUGAAACUCUCAAAUAAUCAAUAAAAAUGUUAUGUU
rnacentral:lncRNA from 1 species